GGUUGAUCCUGCCAGUAGUCAUAUGCUUGUCUCAAAGAUUAAGCCAUGCAUGUCUAAGUAUAAGCACUUUAUACUGUGAAACUGCGAAUGGCUCAUUAAAUCAGUUAUAAUUUACUUGAUAGUACCUUACUACUUGGAUAACAGUGGUAAUUCUAGUGCUAAUACAUGCUUUAAGCCCCGACUUCUGGAAGGGGUGUAUUUAUUAGAUUAAAAACCAAUCGUAGCAAUACGUUUACUGGUGAAUCAUGAUAACUAUUCGAAUCGCAUGGCUCUGCCGGCGAUGGUUCAAUCAA
rnacentral:rRNA from 1 species